rnacentral:misc_RNA from 1 species
AACGCAUGUGGCGCUCUUGGGAUAUCCCUUGAGCAUGCCUGUUUGAGUGUCGGUUCCUAAAUCUCAUUAUAACUCCAAAAGGGUUAUAAAAGGAUAAUGAGUUGGUCAUUUCUAAUCAAAAUGUCACUCUAAAGGAAUAAGAACUGUUAAACGUUUAAUUACUCGUUUCAUGUUUAUACCAUUGUUUAGUGAGAAUAUUAAUCUUUGGAUUGAUGUUCAACAAAACUUGACAAAGGAUUUAGACUGAUUUAGAGUUUGUUUAGCAUAAAAGUUCUUCUUCAUUGAAUUAACUAUAUCCUUUACUGGAUAUACUCAUUCAUCGACCUCAAAUCAGGUAAGAUUACCCGCUGAAUUUAA